rnacentral:rRNA from 1 species
UGCGGUAUCCUGACCGUGCUAAGGUAGCAUAAUCAUUUGCCUCUUAAUUAGAGGCUUGUAUGAAUGGACCCACGAAAUUCUUACUAUAUUAAUAUUAUUUUUAAAACCUAAAUUUUAGGUGAAGAUGCCUAAAUAUUUAUGAAAGACAAGAAGACCCUGUAGAGUUUAAAUGACCUUUCCUUUCCCCGUAAUCUUCAUUUUAAUUGGGGCAAUUAAGGAUUAGACCCUACAUCCUUACCUACUAAAGAAACAAUUUUUCUUUAUCAAUUAUCCUUUCAUUAAGAAUUUAAACUAAACUACCUCAGGGAUAACAGGCUUAUCUUCCUAACGAGUUCAAAUUAACAGGAAGGUUUGGCACCUCGAUGUUGGCUUAGAGUAACCUAAUAAAGCAAAAAUUAUUUAGGUUAGUUCGUUCAACUAUUAAAUCUCUACGUGAUCUGAGUUCAGACCGGA